GAUUUCCAGCUUCACAAGAGCACGGAACAGCUUUCACCCAGAGGACUUUUAUUUUAGGCAGGGAGAGUAAGCACUCUCUGAAGGAACAUUGCAGCAGAAUGCAGCGGGAAGAACGCAGGGGAGAAAAGCCUGCCGACCUGAGGGCGGGAUAUACUCCUGAAGACGCCAACUAAAGGAAAUGAAGUGCCUGCUAGGAGUCUUUCGUCCACCAUGACGUCACCAACUGCCUCACUGUUCACUUCUAUCAACCAUGACGUCACCAACUGCCUCACUGUUCACUUCUAUCAAUCAUGAUGUUACCAACUGCGUGACUGUUCACUUUUAACUAUGAUCAAGCUUUCCAACCUGUGUGCUUGAGAUCAAACCCAGAAGUCAUGAAUUUAAAAUAGUAGUCUGAAUCAAGGUCUUAUCACUUCGAAACUUUUAGUGCAAUCCACUUGAAGAAAUUACAAAUCCUAUAAAAAUCAUCCAGUUCCUGUCUUUUAAUUCAACUCGAGUUAAUCAGAAUCCAUAUGUAAGCUUAUUUACAUGCUGCACAGCAAAAAUAGUUGCAAAUACAUAAAAUUCCCUUUGUGGGGAACUUAUAAAAGGGGAGCAGUUCAUGGGUUGUCUCCAUCCUUUCAAGAGAAGUAAAACCCAAUUCUAACCAAUCAA